rnacentral:lncRNA from 1 species
CUGUUUUGGAGGGAGUGACACCCCAAUGGGAAACUCUUCCUCUGAAAACUCUUAGGGAACUACAGCGUUCCGUUAAGAGCACUGGGCCAAGUGCUCCAUACUCUGCAGACUGUGGACAUGUUGGGUGGCAUGUGGCUAAGUCCGCUCUUAGCCCAGGACAGUUCGUAGUAUGGAGGACUGAAUAUAAGGAUAGAGCAGGGAAGUGAUUCUGAAUUUAGUCGGCAAGAGAAGAGUAGAUAAGCCUACUUUGUCAACGCUCUUGGGUAGAGAGGACUAUGCCUCCCCUCAAGCACAAGUGAGUCUAAAAAAGAAGGUACGGGAAGAAGUCUCCAAGAUAGCAGUAGCUGCUUGGAAAAGGCUCCCUCCUGCUGAUGGUAAAACAACUGUAUUAUCAGGAA